UACGUAGGUGGCAAGCGUUGUCCGGAUUUACUGGGCGUAAAGAGCGCGCAGGCGGUCGUGCAAGUCGCGUGUGAAAGCCCCCGGCUCAACUGGGGAGGGUCACGCGAUACUGCUCGACUUGAAGGCAGGAGAGGGAAGUGGAAUUCCCGGUGUAGUGGUGAAAUGUGUAGAUAUCGGGAGGAACACCAGUGGCGAAGGCGACUUCCUGGCCUGUUCUUGACGCUGAGGCGCGAAAGCUAGGGUAGCAAACGGG
rnacentral:rRNA from 1 species